rnacentral:SRP_RNA from 1 species
GCUGGGCGUGGUGGCGGGCGCCUGUAAUCCCAGCUACUGGGAGGCUGAGGCAGGAGAAUGGCGUGAACCCAGGAGGCGGAGCUUGCAGUGAGCCGAGAUCGCGCCACUGCACUCCAGCCUGGGCGACAGAGCGAGACUCCGUCUCUU